AACUAAGAGUAGUGUAUCGUAGCUAAUGAGGUUAAUCCGAGGCGUGAUCAUUGCUAGUUGAAAACUUUUCCCAAUACCCUACCAUGAUGACUUGAAGUUAAUGGUAGUUAAGUGACAGAAUAUAAACUU
rnacentral:snRNA from 1 species